rnacentral:rRNA from 1 species
UGGGGAAUAUUGCGCAAUGGGCGCAAGCCUGACCCAGCAAUACCGCGUGUGUGAAGAAGGCCUGAGGGUUGUAAAGCACUUUCAAUGGGGAGGAAAAAGGCAAGUUUAAUACGCUUGCCCUUGACAUUACCCAUACAAGAAGCACCGGCUAACUCCGUGCCAGCAGCCGCGGUAAUACGGAGGGUGCGAGCGUUAAUCGGAAUUACUGGGCGUAAAGCGUGCGUAGGCGGCCUGCCAAGUCAGAUGUGAAAGCCCUGGGCUCAACCUGGGAACGGCAUUUGAAACUGGCAGGCUCGAGUUGGGUAGAGGCGGGCGGAAUUCCGGGUGUAGCGGUGAAAUGCGUAGAUAUCCGGAGGAACACCAGUGGCGAAGGCGGCCUGCUGGGCCCAAACUGACGCUGAGGCAC